rnacentral:rRNA from 1 species
GUGAUUGCAGAUUCCGUGAAUCAUCGAGUCUUUGAACGCACAUUGCGCCCCCUGGUAUUCCGGGGGGCAUGCCUGUCCGAGCGUCAUUGCUGCCCAUCAAGCACGGCUUGUGUGUUGGGUCGUCGUCCCCUCUCCGGGGGGGACGGGCCCCAAAGGCAGCGGCGGCACCGCGUCCGAUCCUCGAGCGUAUGGGGCUUUGUCACCCGCUCUGUAGGCCCGGCCGGCGCUUGCCGAACGCAAAUCAAUCUUUUCCAGGUUGACCUCGGAUCAGGUAGGGAUACCCGCUGAACUUAAGCAUAUCAAUAAGCGGAGGA